GAUGAACGCUGACAGAAUGCUUAACACAUGCAAGUCAACUUGAAUUUGGGUUUUUAACUUAGGUUUGGGUGGCGGACGGGUGAGUAACGCGUAAAGAACUUGCCUCACAGCUAGGGACAACAUUUGGAAACGAAUGCUAAUACCUAAUAUUAUGAUAAUAGGGCAUCCUAUAAUUAUGAAAGCUAUAAGCGCUGUGAGAGAGCUUUGCGUCCCAUUAGCUAGUUGGAGAGGUAACGGCUCACCAAGGCGAUGAUGGGUAGCCGGUCUGAGAGGGUGAUCGGCCACAAGGGGACUGAGACACGGCCCUUACUCCUACGGGAGGCAGCAGUGGGGAAUAUUGGACAAUGGACCGAGAGUCUGAACCAGCAAUUCUGUGUGCACGAUGAAGUUUUUCGGAAUGUAAAGUGCUUUCAGUUGGGAAGAAACAAAUGACGGUACCAACAGAAGAAGUGACGGCUAAAUACGUG
rnacentral:rRNA from 1 species